rnacentral:rRNA from 1 species
AUGACCUACGGGGGGCAGCAGUGGGGAAUAUUGCGCAAUGGACGAAAGUCUGACGCAGCGACGCCGCGUGAGGGAUGAAGGUUUUCGGAUCGUAAACCUCUGUCAGGAGGGAAGAAAGCGCAUGGCGCCAAUCAGCCAUGCGUUGACGGUACCUCCAAAGGAAGCGCCGGCUAACUCCGUGCCAGCAGCCGCGGUAAUACGGAGGGCGCGAGCGUUAAUCGGAAUGAUUGGGCGUAAAGGGUGCGUAGGCGGCCUGCUAAGUCUGGAGUGAAAGGUACCGGCUCAACCGGUACAGGCUCUGGAAA